rnacentral:rRNA from 1 species
AUUCCAGCUCCAAUAGCGUAUAUUAAAGUUGUUGCAGUUAAAAAGCUCGUAGUCUGACCGUUGUCCUGGCAUUGAGCGUCCGUGGUUACUGAUCAUGUGUACGCGAGGUGCUGGACACUACCUUCGGAGGAGCGUUCGUGCUUUUAACUAAGUGCGUGCGGGAUUCCGAUAGUUUACUUUGAGAAAAAUAGAGUGUUCAAAGCAGGCGUUUGCCUUGAAUACAUUAGCAUGGGAUAAUGAAAUAGGACGUUGGUUCUAUUUUGAUGGUUUACGGACCGACGUAAUGAUUAAUAGGGACAGUUGGGGACAUUUAUAUUCCAUGGCUAGAGGUGAAAUUCUUGGAUUCAUGGAAGAUAAACUACUGCGAAAGCAUUUGUCAAAGAUGUUUUCAUCA